ensembl:lncRNA
AUGUGAUUAGCCUAACUAAUAGCAGUGCAAAAUGUGCAUGCAGUUUGUUGGUGCUAUGCUGUACACGGAGUUAGAUGCUAAAGAAGAGAAUAAUUAAACAGUAAAGCGUUACAGCAACUCCUAGAUUUCUGGUCGGAAGGCGCACACGGCAUGGCAAAUAUGAGUGUUAACUUUGAAUUUUGAGGCUUCCAGCAUCCCAGUACUCUCCUUCAGCAUGUCGCUUCACUGGGACAACACGAGAACCAAUUCCUUGUCAUCAUGACCCCUGUAACUGCUCCAGCUGAUACCCAAAUCUCCCGACGCACAGCUUUUCUAAAAGGCAAGCCCAAAGCACUGGGGACUGUGCAGAUCAUGAUCGGAAUCAUGACUCUCUUGUUCGGUAUCGUUUUAACCUCGCUUACUGUUACACCUGCAAUCAUCAGUGGUAUCACUGUGUGGGGAUCACUUAUCGUACGUUAUUUUUGGUCUGCAUUUACAGCACCUUACUUUCCACAUUACAAUUCGGAAGUAAUUUAACUUAACUCA